rnacentral:rRNA from 1 species
GCUGGCGGCAGGCCUAACACAUGCAAGUCGAGCGGCCGUAGCAAUACGGCAGCGGCAGACGGGAGAGUAACACGUGGGAACGCGCCCUUCGGUUCGGAAUAACUCAGGGAAACUUGGGCUAAUACCGGAUACGCCCUUACGGGGAAAGAUUUAUUGCCGAAGGAACGGCCCGCGUCCGAUUAGCUUGUUGGUGAGGUAACGGCUCACCAAGGCGACGAUCGGUAGCUGGUCUGAGAGGAUGACCAGCCUCACUGGGACUGAGACACGGCCCAGACUCCUACGGGAGGCAGCAGUGGGGAAUAUUGGACAAUGGGCGCAAGCCUGAUCCAGCCAUGCCGCGUGAGUGAUGAAGGCCCUAGGGUUGUAAAGCUCUUUCAGCGGGGAAGAUAAUGACGGUACCCGCAGAAGAAGCCCCGGCUAACUUCGUGCCAGCAGCCGCGGUAAUACGAAGGGGGCUAGCGUUGCUCGGAAUUACUGGGCGUAAAGCGCACGUAGGCGGAUUGUUAAGUCGGGGGUGAAAUCCUGGAGCUCAACUCCAGUACUGCCUUCGAUACUGGCGAUCUCGAGUUCGGGAUAGGUGA